CAGAGGGGGCAAGCGUUAUUCGGAAUUAUUGGGCGUAAAGGGCGCGUAGGCGGCUUGGCAAGUGGAUGGUGAAAUCCCUCGGCUUAACCGAGGAACUGCCGUCCAAACUGCUUGGCUUGAGACCGGGAGAGGUGAGUGGAAUUCCCAGUGUAGCGGUGAAAUGCGUAGAUAUUGGGAGGAACACCAGUGGCGAAGGCGGCUCACUGGACCGGUACUGACGCUGAUGCGCGAAAGCGUGGGGAGCAAACGGGAUUAGAUACCCCGGUAGUCCACGCCGUAAACGAUGAGUGCUUGGUGUAGCGGGUAUCGACCCCUGCUGUGCCGAAGUCAACACAUUAAGCACUCCGCCUGGGGAGUACGGUCGCAAGGCUG
rnacentral:rRNA from 1 species